rnacentral:tRNA from 1 species
AGCCCUGUAGCUCAGUUGGUAGAGCAUGGUGUUUGCAACACCAGGGUUGUGGGUUCGAUUCCCACGGGGGGCCA